rnacentral:rRNA from 1 species
UACGAAGGGGGCUAGCGUUGCUCGGAAUUACUGGGCGUAAAGCGCACGUAGGCGGCUUUCUAAGUCGGGGGUGAAAUCCUGGAGCUCAACUCCAGAACUGCCUUCGAUACUGGAGAGCUCGAGUCCGGGAGAGGUGAGUGGAACUGCGAGUGUAGAGGUGAAAUGCGCAGAUAUCAGGAGGAACACCGGUGGCGAAGGCGGCACUCUGGGCCGGUACUGACGCUGAGGAGCGAAAGCGUGGGGAGCGAACAGG